rnacentral:rRNA from 1 species
UACGAAGGGGGGCUAGCGUUGCUCGGAAUCACUGGGCGUAAAGCGCACGUAGGCGGCUUGUUAAGUCAGGGGUGAAAUCCUGGAGCUCAACUCCAGAACUGCCUUUGAUACUGAGGAUCUUGAGUUCGGGAGAGGUGAGUGGAACUGCGAGUGUAGAGGUGAAAUUCGUAGAUAUUCGCAAGAACACCAGUGGCGAAGGCGGCUCACUGGCCCGAUACUGACGCUGAGGCACGAAAGCGUGGGGAGCAAACAGG